UACGUAGGGUGCUAGCGUUGUCCGGAUUUAUUGGGCGUAAAGAGCGUGUAGGCGGCCAGGUAGGUCAGCUGUGAAAACUCGAGGCUCAACCUCGAGACGCCGGUUGAAACCAUCUGGCUAGAGUCCGGAAGAGGAGAGUGGAAUUCCUGGUGUAGCGGUGAAAUGCGCAGAUAUCAGGAAGAACACCCGUGGCUAAGGCGGCUCUCUAGUACGGUACUGACGCUGAGACGCGAAAGCGUGGGGAGCGAACAGG
rnacentral:rRNA from 1 species